CAAGCCUCAACAUUCAUGAAGCUUAUAAACGAUCGGUUGGGCGCCUCACACCGUUAGCUCAACAGGGGCUCUGAAAACAAGCGGCCAUGGCGAAGGGAUCCACUAUGCAAACCCUGUAUGAGCUCUGCAAGAAGACCUUCACCCCCUCGUCCGUCUCCCCCUCUUCCCAGUCCAUUUGGAAGCUCUGCUCUCUCAUGGAUUCAAUAAGUCCGGCAGAUGUAGGACUUAAAGAAGAUGCUCUUGAUGAUGAUAGAGGACAUGGCUUUUUUGAAUCCAAUCCAUUCAAGAGUUUAACUAGGGCUGCUCAAUGGGCUCAACCAAUAACAUACUUGCAUAUAUAUGAAUGCGAUAGUUUUACUAUUGGCAUAUUUUGCCUUCCAACUGCUUCUGUGAUUCCACUUCAUGAUCAUCCGGGAAUGACCGUCUUAAGUAAAAUUCUUUAUGGUUCCAUGCAUGUGAAAGCGUAUGAUUGGGUAGAGCCUUCUUGCAUAACGAAUAGUGGGAAGCCAAGCAAAAUUUCAGUGAAGUUGGCCAAGUAUCAGGCUGACGCGGUCUUGACUGCGCCAUGUCCUACCAGGGUUUUGUAUCCAAAAACUGGGGGAAACUUGCACUGUUUCACUGCAAUCACUUCCGUUGCAGUGCUUGACGUUCUGGCUCCACCAUAUUCAGAGGUUGCUGGCAGACGUUGUACUUAUUAUCAUGAUUAUCCAUACUCAACCUUCUGUAUCAACUGUAAAAGAACUUGAGAUGGAUGAGAGGGAAGAGGACUAUUCUUGGCUUGAGGCUAUAGACGCCCCUGAUGAUCUUUACAUGCGCUCUGGUAAAUAUAGUGGUCCUCCUGUUAAGCAAGAGUUAUCCUUUCCAGGAUUUUGCACCAUAGCUUAGUUCUAAGCCAUCUACAAAGAAGUUUCAUGUGAACUUGAAAACAUCAGAAAGCUCUGAAAGAUGCAAAAGAAUAUUUUGUAAAAGUGAGGGUUUCUUGAAUUGGUUCUCUUGUCUGGUGGUGAUCAUGGUGUUCAUGCUCUAUUUGUUCUGCUGCAUUUGAUUAGUAGUACAUGUGACUGCUGAACAUUUAGUUAUAAUGUAUUUAUUCAGAAAAAUAAAAUGUC